CGGUAAUACGUAGGGUCCAAGCGUUAAUCGGAAUUACUGGGCGUAAAGCGUGCGCAGGCGGUUGUGCAAGACCGAUGUGAAAUCCCCGAGCUUAACUUGGGAAUUGCAUUGGUGACUGCACGGCUAGAGUGUGUCAGAGGGGGGUAGAAUUCCACGUGUAGCAGUGAAAUGCGUAGAGAUGUGGAGGAAUACCGAUGGCGAAGGCAGCCCCCUGGGAUAACACUGACGCUCAUGCACGAAAGCGUGGGGAGCAAACAGGAUUA
rnacentral:rRNA from 1 species